UACGUAGGGGGCUAGCGUUGUCCGGAAUCAUUGGGCGUAAAGAGCGUGUAGGCGGUCCGGUAAGUCCGCUGUGAAAGUCGGGGGCUCAACCCUCGAAUGCCGGUGGAUACUGUCGGGCUAGAGUGCGGAAGAGGCGAGUGGAAUUCCUGGUGUAGCGGUGAAAUGCGUAGAUAUCAGGAGGAACACCGGUGGCGAAGGCGGCUAUCUGGACAGAGUCUGACGCUGAGGCGCGAAAGCUAGGGGAGCAAACAGG
rnacentral:rRNA from 1 species